UACAGAGGGUGCAAGCGUUGUUCGGAAUUAUUGGGCGUAAAGGGAGUGUAGGCGGCUAUUUAAGUCUCAUGUGAAAUCUGCGGGCUUAGCCUGACAAAGUGCAUGGGAAACUGGGUAGCUUGAGUGUCGGAGAGGAUAGCGGAAUUCCCGGUGUAGAGGUGAAAUUCGUAGAGAUCGGGAGGAACACCAGUGGCGAAGGCGGCUAUCUGGCUGACAACUGACGCUGAGACUCGAAAGCAUGGGGAGCAAACAGG
rnacentral:rRNA from 1 species